rnacentral:rRNA from 1 species
UACGUAGGGACCGAGCGUUGUCCGGAAUCAUUGGGCGUAAAGAGCGUGUAGGCGGCCUUUUAAGUCCUGCGUGAAAUCCCGGGGCUCAACCUCGGAACUGCCUUUGAUACUGCAAAUCUCGAGUCCGGAAGAGGUGAGUGGAAUUCCUAGUGUAGAGGUGAAAUUCGUAGAUAUUAGGAAGAACACCAGUGGCGAAGGCGGCUCACUGGUCCGGUACUGACGCUGAGGUGCGAAAGCGUGGGGAGCAAACAGG